rnacentral:rRNA from 1 species
GAUGAACGCUGGCGGCGUGCUUAACACAUGCAAGUCGAACGUGAGAAUAGCAAUAUUUGAAAGUGGCAAACGGGUGAGUAACACGUGGGAACCUGCCUCGAAGUGGGGGAUAACGAUUGGAAACGGUCGCUAAUACCGCACGGUUCUGCUCUGAUGGGAAUGGAGCAGAUAAAGAUUUAUCGCUUUGAGAGGGGCCCGCGGCCGAUUAGCUAGUUGGUAAGGUAAAGGCUUACCAAGGCGAUUAUCGGUAGCUGGUCUGAGAGGACGAUCAGCCACACGGGAACUGAGACACGGUCCCGACUCCUACGGGGGGCAGCAGUGAGGAAUAUUGGGCAAUGGGCGAAAGCCUGACCCAGCAACGCCGCGUGGAGGAUGAAGGCUUUAGGGUUGUAAACUCCUUUUGUGGGGAAAGAAUGGAUGGUACCCCAAGAAUAAGUCACGGCUAACUACGUGCCAGCAGCCGCGGUAAGGCGUAUGUGU